AAAGAGACAAGAUGAAAGAAAAAAGAAAAAAAAAUAUACAGAAAAAUGAGAAAAAUUAAAAAAAAAAUAAAAUUGUGUGAAUAAUGGAGUCAAGAAGAGGAUUGAGUUAGAGGGUUUUGGGUGUGAUUUGAAUGUGUUUUCACUUGUUCCCCAUUGCUCCUCUAUUCCUUUUGGUUUGUAGUUUCUCAUCCAUAUUAUAUCCU
rnacentral:lncRNA from 1 species